GGGAGGAGGGCGGGGACGGCACACACCCCUCAGCGUGUGGUAUCUCAACCUCCCGCACCCCCACUCUGUGUGUAGGUAAGCCCAGCAGUCAUCCUAUCCCUGCCGCAUGCCGAACCACUUGCAGUGGUGACAGGUGCAAGCAGCUACAAAGACGCUGGGCACGUCUGUACCAUUCAUAUGAUUUGCAGAGUGCCAGGGUGGCUUGAGCGUGUGUCUCGCCCGGCCCUCACUGCCCUUGCUGGUGAAGGGAGCCGGACCCACUCCGAGGAGGGGAUGCCCCCCGGGGGCGGCCAGCGCAGUGGAGGCGGCUGUGAGGCGACCUGCGAGGCGGGUGGGCGGCCAGCGUUAGAGGCAGGGGGCCGCGCUGAGGUGGCGGAGUCGGCGCAUUGCCGUAACGCGUGCGGCCUACGGCCGCUUCGCACCAGGCGGAUGGGGCCUGUGACAGACCGUCUCCAGCGUAGACUGCAUGCCGUGUGUGGGAGAGCGGGCACCUUGGAAGGGAAAAGAAGAAAUGCGGUUUCUUCUCCCGUGCGGUGAAGGAUGCAAUGAUCUGCGCUCCAGUUUUCGGCGCGGGUGGCUCUGCUCGCGUCGUUUGUUUGCUGGUCUCUUUGUGGUGGGCCGAGUUGAUCCAGUGAUGAAAGAUAC
rnacentral:misc_RNA from 1 species